UACGUAGGGUGCAAGCGUUAAUCGGAAUUACUGGGCGUAAAGCGUGCGCAGGCGGUUUGUAAGUCUGUCGUGAAAUCCCCGGGCUCAACCUGGGAAUUGCGAUGGAGACUGCAAGGCUAGAAUCUGGCAGAGGGGGGUAGAAUUCCACGUGUGAGCAGUGAAAUGCGUAGAGAUGUGGAGGAACACCGAUGGCGAAGGCAGCCCCCUGGGUC
rnacentral:rRNA from 1 species